CCAGGCUACAAAUAAACCACUCAAACGGACGCCUCUUGUUCUAAUCACCCCAUAAAAUGUAUUUAAGCGACCAGACGGAGACUUUCCAGGCCUUUAUUUAUCUAUUUAUUAUUGUGGCUGACCGGAGCAUCCUUCUCCUAAAGAGCCCGGUGCCAAACGCCGUGAGUUAUGCAAAGGCAGGAGAGGGACGGGGCGGGAAACGCGGCCGUAACUCACCCCCCAACACAGACGGGGGGAUUUUGGGGGGCGGGGGGCACCCCAGACCUCUCCAUAAAGGCUUUGUGCCCCCCCCAUGACCCCAUGGGCCUUUUGCCGGGUUCUGCUGAGGGUGUAGCUUGGUGGGGUGUCACCCUCCAGGACUUUGGAGGGACAUCGAAGCCUUAAAUGGGGUAAUUUUGGGGGUUUUGAGUAGAAAAGGUGUUUUCUGACACCCGUUCCCACUCGGCUGAGUUAUAUUUGAGCUGUUCCUCCCCAAAAAUCUGCUUUGCAGAGGGGGUGCAAGGUGGCUCCCCCCAUCCCGCAUCCAAUUCCCGGUUCUGGCGUCUCCCACCCAGGCUCUUGGUUGGGAUGUGGUGGUGGGAUGUUCCAAGGAGGUGGUGGGAUGCUCUGGGGAGAUGUGGGAUGCUCCAAAGAGAUGGAGGGAUGGUCCAAAGUGGAGGGAUGCUCCAAGGUGGAGGAACGCUCUGACAAGGUGGUGGGAUGCUCUGAUGAGGUGGUGGGAUGCUCUGAUGAGUUGACGGGAUGCUCCAAGGUGAAGGGGCACUCCAAGGUGGAGGGAUCCUCUGACAAGGUGGAGGGAUCCUCUGAUGAGGUGGAGGGAUGCUCCGAUGAGGUUGAGGGAUGUUCCAACAAGGUUGAGGGAUGUUCCAACAAGGUUGAGGGAUGCUUUAUUGGUGGAGGGAUGGUCUGACAAGGUGGUGGGAUGCUCCGAAGAGGUGGUGGGAUGUUCCAACAAGGUUGAGGGAUGCUUUAUUGGUGGAGGGAUGGUCUGACAAGGUGGUGGGAUGCUCUGAUGAGGUGGUGGGAUGCUCUGACGAGGGGAUGGUAUGCUCUGAUGAGGUGGAAGGAUGUUCUGAUGAGGUGGUGGGAUGCUCCGAAGAGGUGGUGGGAUGUUCCAACAUCCGAUGAGGUGGAGGGAUGUUCUAAAGAGUUGACAGGAUGCUCCGAGGUGGAGGGAUGCUCUGACAAGGUGGCGGAAUGCUCCGAUGAGGUGGUGGGAUGCUCCGACAAGGUGGAGGGAUGUUCCAAGGUGGAGGGAUGCUCUGACAAGGUGGUGGGAUAGUCCAAUGAGGUGGUUGGAUGUUCUGAUGAGGUGGUGGGAUGCUCCAAGGUGGUGGGAUGCUCUGAUGAGGGGAUGGGAUGCUCUGAUGAGGUGGAAGGAUGAUCUGAUGAGGUGAUGGGAUGCCCUGACAAGGUGGAGGUUGAGGUUGAGUUCCAAUGAGGUGAUGGGAUGCUCUGACAAGUUGGAGGGAUGCUCCAAAGUGGUGGGAUGCUCUGACAAGGUGGUGGGAUGCUCUGAUGAGGUGGAAGGAUGUUCCAAUGAGGUGAUGGGAUGCUCUGACAAAGUCGAGGGAUGACCCAAAGUGGUGGGAUGCUCCGAUGAGGUUGAGAGAUGUUCCAACGAGGUUGAGGGAUGCUCUAUUGGUGGUGGGAUGGUCUGACAAGGUGGUGGGAUGCUCCGAAGAGGUGGUGGGAUGUUCCAACAAGGUUGAGGGAUGCUCUAACAAGGCGGAGGGAUGCUCCAAGGUGGGGGGAUGCUCUGAUCCCUCAUCAGAAGGAUGCUCAAGCCGAGGUGGAGGGAUGAUCCAACAAGGUGCUGAGAUGCUCCCAAGUUGGAGGGGACGCUCCGACCCCUCCUC
rnacentral:lncRNA from 1 species